GGGGACCAUCCUCCAAGGCUAAAUACUCCUGACUGACCGAUAGUGAACCAGUACCGUGAGGGAAAGGCGAAAAGAACCCCGGCGAGGGGAGUGAAAAAGAACCUGAAACCGUGUACGUACAAGCAGUGGGAGCACAGGUUUACCUGUGUGACUGCGUACCUUUUGUAUAAUGGGUCAGCGACUUAUAUUCUGUAGCAAGGUUAACCGAAUAGGGGAGCCGGAGGGAAACCGAGUCUUAAUUGGGCGUUAAGUUGCAGGGUAUAGACCCGAAACCCGGUGAUCUAGCCAUGGGCAGGUUGAAGGUUGGGUAACACUAACUGGAGGACCGAACCGACUAAUGUUGAAAAAUUAGCGGAUGACCUGUGGCUGGGGGUGAAAGGCCAAUCAAACCGGGAGAUAGCUGGUUCUCCCCGAAAGCUAUUUAGGUAGCGCCUCGUGAAUUCAUCUCCGGGGGUAGAGCACUGUUUCGGCUAGGGGGCCAUCCCGGCUUACCAACCCGAUGCAAACUGCGAAUACCGGAGAAUGUUAUCACGGGAGACACACGGCGGGUGCUAACGUCCGUCGUGAAGAGGGAAACAACCCAGACCGCCAGCUAAGGUCCCAAAGUCAUGGUUAAGUGGGAAACGAUGUGGGAAGGCCCAGACAGCCAGGAUGUUGGCUUAGAAGCAGCCAUCAUUUAAAGAAAGCGUAAUAGCUCACUGGUCGAGUCGGCCUGCGCGGAAGAUGUAACGGGGCUAAACCAU
rnacentral:rRNA from 1 species